rnacentral:ncRNA from 2 species
CUCUUAUCCCGAGUCGGUGGAGGGACAGGCCCGAGGAAGCCCGGCAACCAACACUUAUAGUGAAAGCGCAAUGUUUGUUACUUGCUUCACGUUUUAUAUAGUGAAAAGGUGCUAACCUGCUGCAAGACGAUUGUCUUGAUCGAUAAGAG